AUUGAACGCUGGCGGCAGGCCUAACACAUGCAAGUCGAGCGGACCGGCAGUCGGGUGAGUAAUACCUAGGUAUCUGCCUGUUAGUGGGGGAUAACGUCCGGUAACGGGCGCUAAUACCGCAUCCUAUCACAUUAGCCUAGGUCGGAAUGGCUAUAUGUAGGGGUAAAGGCCUACCAAGGCCACGAUCCGUAACUGGUCUGAGAGGAUGAUCAGUCAUACUGGAACUGAGACACGGUCCAGACUCCUACGGGAGGCAGCAGGGGGGAAUAUUGGACAAUGGGCGAAAGCCUGAUCCAGCCAUGCCGCGUGUGUGAAGAAGUUCUUCGGAUUGUAAAGCACUUUAAGUUGGGAGGCGUUACCAACAGAAUAAGCACCGGCUAACUUCGUGCCAGCAGCCGCGGUAAUUC
rnacentral:rRNA from 1 species